GAACGCUAGCUACAGGCUUAACACAUGCAAGUCGAGGGGAAACGAUAUUGGAAGCUUGCUUCUGAUAGGCGUCGACCGGCGCACGGGUGAGUAACGCGUAUCCAACCUGCCCAUCACUUGGGGAUAACCUUGCGAAAGUAAGACUAAUACCCAAUGACGUCUCUAGAAGACAUCUGAAAGAGAUUAAAGAUUUAUCGGUGAUGGAUGGGGAUGCGUCUGAUUAGCUUGUUGGCGGGGUAACGGCCCACCAAGGCGACGAUCAGUAGGGGUUCUGAGAGGAAGGUCCCCCACAUUGGAACUGAGACACGGUCCAAACUCCUACGGGAGGCAGCAGUGAGGAAUAUUGGUCAAUGGACGAGAGUCUGAACCAGCCAAGUAGCGUGCAGGAUGACGGCCCUAUGGGUUGUAAACUGCUUUUAUAAGGGAAUAAAGUGGGAGUCGUGACUCUUUUUGCAUGUACCUUAUGAAUAAGGACCGGCUAAUUCCGUG
rnacentral:rRNA from 1 species